UACGUAGGGGGCAAGCGUUGUCCGGAUUUAUUGGGCGUAAAGAGCGUGUAGGCGGCCAAGCAGGUCCGCUGUGAAAAACUCGAGGCUCAACCUCGAGACGUCGGUGGAAACCGUUUUGGCUAGAGUCCGGAAGAGGAGAGUGGAAUUCCUGGUGUAGCGGUGAAAUGCGCAGAUAUCAGGAAGAACACCUAUGGCGAAGGCAGCUCUCUGGGACGGUACUGACGCUGAGACGCGAAAAGCGUGGGGGAGCGAACAGG
rnacentral:rRNA from 1 species